UCCGAGUUGACCCCGGCAGUCUCCGAUGAGUCCCCACCAUGACGUGCUGGCAACAUCGAACGAGGGUUGCGCUCGUUGCGGGACUUAACCCAACAUCUCACGACACGAGCUGACGACAACCAUGCACCACCUGUACCCCGCCCGGUAAAGGACCCCGCAUCUCUGCGAGUUUUCGAGGUAUGUCAAGCCUUGGUAAGGUUCUUCGCGUUGCAUCGAAUUAAGCCGCAUGCUCCGCCGCUUGUGCGGGCCCCCGUCAAUUCCUUUGAGUUUUAGCCUUGCGGCCGUACUCCCCAGGCGGGGCGCUUAAUGCGUUAGCUGCGGCACGGAGAUCGUGGAAAGAUCCCCACACCUAGCGCCCAACGUUUACGGCGUGGACUAC
rnacentral:misc_RNA from 1 species